UUUCUAUGUUAUUUUUGCUGAUGUGUAUGCUGGGAUGUUUCGGUUCUUGUAAAGCUGGCUGUUAUUCGUAGUGAUAUGCUGUAUACAUGCGAAUUUUCUUUAGGAUUGAUGGAGAAAUUACCUUUAUAUUUAAUGGAGCUUCGAAUAAAUCCUUGCAAUCUUUUGCUCCGUAGCUUUAAAAUGGGCACCUACCAGUUGCCAUUAUACUUCAAAAUCUUGCCUAUGCAGCCCAUGAACUGGAAACGCCAUUUUCCCAGCAGUGUUCUGCCAAAAGAUGUUACUUGAACCUUCUAUCGAGGACUUGGUCAACCAUUUCAUGACCAUGAACGGAGAUCUAGACGCUGAUUAAGAUGCGCUUUAGUUGCUAUAAAGUCGUGCAUCUUGCCAAUUCUUCAUUGUUCUGAAAUCUGCGAACCACCUGGAUGGUAAAAUUUUCAGUACUGGACUACUUUUAUAUGCUUGCACGACUUUGAAAACUCCGGCACAAUAGCUUAAAUUCAUCUGUCCAACGUGAAAUAACCAAAUUAAUUGAAGAAUUUAAUGAUCUAAGUUUAAUCGACAAUUUUCCUGAAAUUGUACACUUCGACCUGAAACUAUAACUAAACUGAUAAUAAAUGGUCUAUUACUAAUAUGCAAGGGAACUUCAAUGUUUUCGAAUUCUUUAUAAAUUUUUAAAAUUUUAAAUUUAACAGUUAUUUCGAAUGGAACGGGAAAACACUCGCAUCAGUGGUUAAGUUGAAUAUUCGAUUCCAAUCCAAAAUAUCGGCAAUCGCAAAUCAAUUCGCGUCUUUAAAAAUCGUGUGUUAAAUUUGCAAAGGAAUUUUUAAAUAUUUACGUGCUAAGCAUACACUUCAAAGGUGAUAAUAUCCAACAUUCCGAUCAUAGGUGUACAGAAUUCUUUGACAUUUUCAGAUGUCCCCAA